AAUGGCGUCAGAGCCUACUCUCCAGUCCCAGCCCAGGGGACAAUGUCCAGCUGUCUAUUGCUACCUCAGUUUAAAAGAAAAGUCAAGGCUACAUCCAGAAAAGUACCUCUCCCAGGCCUCUUUUUUAUGAGCAUUUAACCAACUCCAGCACCAGAGAGUCUCUCUGGGCCUCCCGGGACGUUCAUGGAGGGACCUGAUACUCCUGCUCUUGCCUGCUUUCCAGCUCUCUGAGUACAUCGUGUAGCCUGGAGCUUGCCAGGGAAGGCAGCUGUGGUGAACUCGUGAUGGCCCCAAAGCAUCGUCCUCACCGCUGUGGCUGGCUCAGCCUCCUGAAGUGUCCAUGUCGGAGAAACCGGAGCUUCAGGUAACCUGUUGUUACCAGGUGCAAGACGACGUGUUCCCAGGACUCAGGAGGGACAUAGUUAUGCAUCAGCUGUGAUAAAAAAAAAUUUCAACAUCAAGCCUGGACUCCCCGAGGACUCCACGAAACAAGAGGACGGUGUCAACUGAAGAAUUCUGUCUAUGCAAGAUCGUGACUGUUCCAUUGCGCAGAUCGAAAAGCCGAACCCAAAUGACUGUUCUUUUGAUGAACGAGACAACGGAGCAUCCCCACUGUGGCUUCUGAACACCAUAUACCCGCAAUUAACAUUUCAGGGGCUUUUCUCAGGAUUUUGCCCAUCGGUUCAGGCACGUAUUUGCUUUACUGUACGCUUUCCACACCAACGACUUCCACUAAUAAAUGCAAUACUUUUAAAAAAC